rnacentral:rRNA from 1 species
UACGAGGGGGGCAAAUGUUGUUCGGAAUUACUGGGCGUAAAGGGCUCGUAGGCGGCCAACUAAGUCGGACGUGAAAUCCCCAGGCUUAACCUGGGAACUGCGUCUGAUACUGGAUGGCUUGAAUUCGGGAGAGGGAUGCAGAAUUCCAGGUGUAGCGGUGAAAUGCGUAGAUAUCUGGAGGAAUACCGGUGGCGAAGGCGGCAUCCUGGACCGACAUUGACGCUGAGGAGCGAAAGCUAGGGGAGCAAACGGG